rnacentral:lncRNA from 1 species
UCUCUCUUCUUCUUGGUGAGUUUGGCCAGAAGUUUGUCAACUUUAUUUACCCUUCCAAAGAACCAGUUCUUGGUUUUAGUGAUUUUUUUCUUUUGUUUUUUGAAUAUCUAUUUUAUUGAUUUCCUCUCUGAUUUUUAUGAUUUCCUUCCUUCUGCUGACUUUAGGUUUUGUUUGUUUUUCUUUUUCUAAUUCAUUUAGGUGGUAAGUCAAGUUGUUGAUUUGAGACUUUUCUUCUUUUCUGAGAAGACCUGUAUAGCUAUGAAGUUCCCUCUCAUCACUGCUUUUGCAGCAUCCCAUAGAUUUCGAAUGGCUGUGUUUUCUAAAGCAGUUUCUUAAAAUAAAUCUCUCCUUCCCUCUCCCCAACUCCCUCUCCUACCUUCUCCAUCCUGUAUGUAUCUCUUAAUAGUUCUUUUUCUCUGGAGAACCAUGACUAAUACAGUCCUCCUAAAAGUUAAAUUGCUAGGUCAUAUGGAGAUAAGCACCUGUUUAGUUGCUUCCUUAGGCAGCAUCAUCACACAGAAGGGCUACCCUCUGUGAUAAGACUCCAAAGUCAGGUUGACCUUCAGUGAGUGCUGCUGCUCUUAUAUCAGACCCAGCCAACAAGAUCAGUGCAAACUACGCCCACACUGGUUUCUUCCCAACCUAAUUUCUUUGCUUCCAUUAAACUUAACCCAUCCCUCUGUGAUCUGAUCCAGUCCCCUCAUUUCUUUCUCAAGCCACUGUUCCACCAGUAUAGGAGUUUCCCAAAGAACAUGGUUAUGAUUCACCUUAGGAAAGUAAAAUACAUUAUGCAGAAUAUGUUUAGGUUUAGAUUUUCAGUGUGUUUUGACUUAGAAUAUAUAGUGAAUUAGAAAUAAUUCUAACUAGAAAUAAUUCUAAUAGUUCUACUUUCAGGUACUAACUAGGCAACAUUUCCCAAAGCCAAGUAAAGCAAAUGCACUAAUAAUGAUCAAGGCCAUGCAUCUCUGAGUAGAAUUUUUGAGGAAAUAAGCCAGGGGAUGAAAGAGUGAGAAGUGGGUUCCUUCUAACGGGCAGGAAUAGGCCUGAGCACUACUCACCAACAAUCAGUCAACUAGGUGUGGUGUCCACCAAUAGCCAAAGACCCACCCACAGUUCCAUCCAACCAGUACAGGAACAUACAGUUACUAUCUCAUCUCUCUCUGUCCCUUCAUACACAUGUACCUCAGAGAACAGUAUCCAACAUCUACCUCUGCUCCCCAUUCCCAUUCAUUCUUCUCAGAAAUUUUUAUGGAAAUAAUAUAUGGUAUAUAGUUGCUAAAAUCUUCUUUCCAAAUACAUAGGUAAAGAAGUAAAAAUUCCCCCUCAUUUCUUCUCUCUUAAUUCUAUCCCCUUCUCCAAAGUUAUAAGCAUUCGUUAGCAGUUUGGCAUAUAUCCUUUUCAGAUCUUAGUCUGUAUCUUAACUCCAUUAAUAUAUUCCAUUAGUGUUCUUUUUGUGCUUUUUUAUAAGUAGGGUAAUAUUUUUAGUAUUAUUCCAAUCAUUUCCUUUUUUCUCUUGUCAAAAUGGAGACCGUUCCUUUCUAGUGCAUGCACAUCACUUACAAUGUGCCAGGCAAUGGGGUUUAUAUUUCUCAAUUGGACUCCUGCAGUAAUUUCCUAACUGUUCUCCCUACUCUCAGCCUUAUACCCUUCAAUCCAUUCCACAUACCUUCCUGAGGGAUUUUACAAAAGCCCAAAUCUCUUACAUUGAUACUCUUAUUCCCCUGAUUAAAAUUUUUCCUUGACUCUCCACUGCCUUGUUUAGUAUGGUUUACAAGUCCCACCAGAAUCCUGUGUGGCUGCGCUUACUUCUUACCAUAACCCUACACCCCAGCCAUGCCAAACCAUUUGCAGUUCCCAAAGCACACCAAACCUGCUGCUGCUUCCUUGACCUUCAUGCCCUUAUUUGCAUUCCAAGAAAAAUUAGUUGAGUUGCAAAACAUACAUAUAGAUAAUCAAAUGAAUUCUCCUGCUGUAUGAGGAUAUUAGCUACACUGCUGUUAAAAUUUGUGUACAGAGUCUAGCAAAAAUUAGAAUAUUGUUUAGAAUAAGAACCUAAAGCAUCGGAGUUCCCGUCGUGGCGCAGUGGUUAACGAAUCCGACUAGGAGCCAUGAGGUUGCAGGUUCGGUCCCUGCCCUUACUCAGUGGGUUGACGAUCCGGCGUUGCCAUGAGCUGUGGUGAAGGUUGCAGACGCGGCUCGGAUCCUGCGUUGCUGUGGCUCUGGCGUAGGCCGGUGGCUACAGCUCCGAUUAGACCCCUAGCCUGGGAACCUCCAUAUGCCGCAGGAGCGGCCCAAGAAAUAGCAACAACAACAACAACAACAACAAAAAGACAAAAAAAAAAAAAAGAACCUAAAGCUUCACUUUUGGUGGUAAUUAAGAUAACAGAGUCAGCUGUCCAGCAAACCAAUUUAGUUGCCUCCCAACAUCCACAGCAGUCACUCCUGUUGAAGCCUUUCCUGAUUUUCCUGUUAGAAUCAGCUGUCCUUGAUAUGACCCCACUCUUCCCCCAGGACACAACAUAAGCAAAACAGCCACAACAUUUCAGUGCCUUUAUUGAUUCACAUCUCUUCCUGUCCUGCCAGACCACAUACAUCUUAAGGGGCAAGCACCUAUCUUUUUUUUUUUAAUUAUAGUAUUGUAGAAUUAUAAAAUUGUGGUAGUUUCAGGUGUUAUGUGCAUAUAUUAUUUGACUUUUAAUAUCCAGUACCCAAUGCUAUAUAUGAUACCAUAGUAGGCAUUUUGUGGUUAAAAUAACCAAUCAGUAAGUACGUUGUUUUUAUUAAGGUACGACUUAUCUGUUCCCAAAUAUUUAAGAUGAGUCACAAUGAUAUUAACAAUAUACCAGAAAGAUAAAGACAAAUACCAUAUGAUAUCACUUAUAACUGGAAUCUAAUAUCCAGCACAAAUGAACAUCUCCUCAGAAAAGAAAAUCAUGGACUUGGAGAAAAGACUUGUGGCUGCCUGAUGGGAGGGGGAGGAAGGGGGAGGGAUGGGGAGCUUGGGCUUAUCAGACACAACUUAGAAUAGAUUUACAAGGAGAUCCUGCUGAGUAGCAUUGAGAACUAGGUCUAGAUACUCAUGUUGCAACAGAACAAAGGGUGGGGGGAAAAAUGUAAUUGUAAUGUAUACACGUAAGGAUAACUUGAUCCCCUUGCUGUACAGUGGGGGGAAAAAAAUAAAGAAACCAUGUAUUUUGCUUUCCACAAGCCAGUAGCAAUAACAAGUUUCCCAGAGUCCACAGGUUAAAACAAACUGGCUGCUAAGGAGAAGCAUAACUAGUCCUGACAUGGUUACCAGAGAGAAAUGUCUCUCAAAAGACUUCAAAGUGGACACCAUAUAAUAAAAUAAACAACGACCUUAAAUAUUUCUUAGAAUUAACAGAGAUAUGAGUUUCCAGAGAUAAAUCACUGACAUAAACCACAGGCUCAUUCACACCAACACAUGCAAGUUGGUUCUCUCACUGUCCUCACUGUCAGUCAGGUUAAUGAGAAGAUAUACUUUAGUUAUUAGUGGUAGUGACUUUAACAUACUUUGGACCAUGGACAUUUCCUCUCCUCAGAAAAACACCCCAACAUAAUAUUUUGCAUCAAUUUUCAAGGGAUUAUGGAAACCUGAAGCUUGUCUGGACCAUCCAGGUUAAAAUCCUCAACCUGGAAGAAAGAUAUACUCUACAUCCUUGAGUCAGGCUUCCCACAUCAGGAGGUGAUGGCUUGGGCAAGGCCAAGCUCUCCACGAUUCUACAACAUAAAAGCUCUACAGUUCUACAUCAUUGAGCAUGGCCAAAAAUAAUUUAAGUCUGGAAAAUAUUCAACAUAAGUGUAGCCAAACAGAUAUCCCAAAUGCUUUUUCUCCUAAUCUCGUUAAAACACUCAAAGACUAUCUACUUUUUGAGGAAUGUAACUUCCUCCAAUGCCUUCCAAGAAAAAUUCGUUGAGCUGCAAAACAUACAUGUAAAUUACUAAAUGAAUAAUUCACUUGCUAUAGGGGGAUUUUAGCUACCUUGCUGUUUGAAGUUGGGUACAGGGUCUAGCAAAAAUUAUAACUUUGAAUUAGAAUAAGAAUCUAAAGCUUCACUGUUGGGUGGCUAAUUAGCCAAGAGUUAGCUGUCUAUUAAAAAUACUUUUAGAUCAUGAUAAUUAAUACACAUCACUGAUUUUAGUUAUCAUCAGUGUUCUCCCUUUUAGAGAGAGAGCAUACUUCCAGUUCAUGAAAUGUGAUACUGUUCCUUGGGUCUUGGCCUAGGAAGCCCAAAACUGGAAAAACUCUAGAUUCUCUUCUGAAGUAAAUGUACUUCUUUUAUAGAAGUUAUGAGAAAUUUGGUCAGACAUUCCACUGAAAUCAACAAAUCAGCCUAUGUAUGUUUCAACCCUUCCAUUAUAUAUUACUCUAUUUAUAUAUCACCCUCAUUCCAUUAC